AGCAGGGAGAACAUGCAUGAAUGCAGCAUGUCCUGGAACCCACAUAGGGAGAAGCAAUUCAGAAUUUAGUCCUAAGUGGAGCACAGGAUCUGGUCCAAGAGUUGAAAUAUAGCAGAACUUCUUCGUAAUAGCAGUCAUAAUGUAAUUAAAUUUAAUAUCCUUGUAGGGGGAAAAAUGCUAAAGAAACCCACCACAAUAGCAUUUAAUUUAAAAAAGGGGAACUACACAAAAAUAGAAACUAAAAGGAACAGCCACAGGGUUGAAAUGCCUGCAAACUGCAUGGAGAACAUUUAUUUAAAAACACCAUAAUAGAGGCUCAUACUAAAUGUAAACCCCCAAAUAAAAAAAAAAACAGAGAACAAAAAAAAAAGCCACCAUAGCAGAAUAAGAGAGGCAGUUAGAGGUGAAAAGGCAUCCUUUAGAAAUUGCAAGUCAAAUCCUGGUGAGGAAAGGAGCAUAAACUCUGGUAAGUCAAGUCUAAAAGGCAGGCCAAGAAAGAAUUUGAAGAGGACCUAGCUAAAGACACAAA